rnacentral:rRNA from 1 species
AUGGGAACGCGAAGAACCUUACCUAGACUUGACAUCUCCUGAAUAGUGUAGAGAUACAUGAAGCCCUUCGGGGCAGGAAGACAGGUGGUGCAUGGUUGUCGUCAGCUCGUGUCGUGAGAUGUUGGGUUAAGUCCCGCAACGAGCGCAACCCUUAUUGUUAGUUGCCAGCAUUCAGAUGGGCACUCUAGCGAGACUGCCGGUGACAAACCGGAGGAAGGCGGGGACGACGUCAGAUCAUCAUGCCCCUUAUGACCUGGGCUACACACGUGCUACAAUGGCGUAUACAACGAGCAGCAAGACCGCGAGGUCAAGCGAAUCUCUUAAAGCCAUUCUCAGUUCGGAUUGCAGGCUGCAACUCGCCUGCAUGAAGCCGGAAUCGCUAGUAAUCGCGGAUCAGCACGCCGCGGUGAAUACGUUCCCGGGUCUUGUACACACCG